CUCACAAAUAGUCUUUAUUUUCAUCACAUUCCUAAUUAUAAAACAUAUACCAUUAAUUUUAAAAUUUAUACCUGCUUGAAAUUUUGUAACAAAUGCCUCAAUUUAACAAUGUGUAUAUAUAUAUAUAUAUAUAUAUACAAGACUAUUACAAAUCCAAUCCGAAUGAGAAACCUACUUCACUAAUGAUACCUUACUUUUAGAGCUCUAGUUUUAUAUACAAAUCAAAUAUGGUGGUUGGUUCUUUAGCAUUGCCAAAACAAGUUCUCUCUGCUUGCCAUUCUCUCUGCCUCAAACAAAUUUGGUUGUUCCUCUGUUUCUCCUGCUGCAACCUUUUUCACUAUUGUAUCUCCUGCUGCAACCUUUUUCACUUCUAAGGUGAAAAGGGCUAUUGGGUAGACUAACUCCUUGAGUGCUGCACACCAAGAGUAAUGACCAUCAACAAAUAAGGUAAAAGAAGUUGAUAGUUGAAAUAGAUUGACAUGUUUACUGAUGCUACCUCGAGUAAUCCAAAAUCUAUUCAAGGAGGAAGAAAUCCAAAAAUAAUAAUACUACAAAGCUCCUAAUACCUAAACAAAGCUAAAGUUACCAUGAUACUAAAAGAUACUUGGCAAUCUAAAAAAAUGAUGGUUUGAGUGGAAUAUACCAUUAGCACUAGCAGUAUGAAGCGUUUUAGCUCUUCGAGAAUCGCUUCAUAGCAGAAGAGAUAUUGUUCCUGCAAAAGGAUGCAUGCAAAUGUAACAGCAAAAUACACAACAACUAUAGCAGAAAUAAAGAACUGUCCAACAACUAUUAGGAGAAAUUUGAAAUCAUCCCCUACAAAUUCUAACAAAGGAGAAAAGUAGUUUGACUGGUAAUUUCUUAAAGUAUAUUCCAAGUCAAGCAUUAUAUCAAAUUGAAACUGAUGUUGAAGCUGCAAGAUAAACAAGGCUUUGCUAUCCAAGAAUGAAAGAUCCUAAUAGAGGAUGACACAAAACAGAAAAUUUCUCAAAUGAACCUUCACAUAACUGAUAACACAACAAGUCGAGACAGCCAUUUCUAUACACGAAAAUUGCACUUUCUAUUAAAAAAGGGAAAAAAGAAAUCAGAACAAGAAGCAUAUUAUGUCUAUGGCUUUCUAUGCCAAGUAGAACAUUGGAUUUCAGUAUUAAGUAUAUUAAAUGAAUAUUGAUCCAUAUACACAAGAUCAUAAAAAUGAUCAUCCCACCACUAGCUAAGUCGCAAAUUAAAAAAGAUUACACAAAACACUCAAUAUUUAAGAGCUACGUGUAUCCUCUGCUACCUAUAAAUCUUCACAGUUAUGCCGCUCUGUUGAAAGAGAUUGGAAACGUGGAAAUAAUUUUCUUGGUAAUCUUUUUCGUUUUCUACAAUUAUUCAAUUAGGUUUAUUAGAACUUUCCAUACACAAUGCUUUACACCAUUUGUUAACACAUAUUAAUUAUCAAUCCCACCCUUCAGUAUAUACCAAUCUCAAGAUUGCCUCAUGUCAUUCACACACAGAUGCAAUAAAAAACGCCUAAAAAAAUAGAUGCUAUGAAAAAUGAAACAUACUAUGAUAAUAAUUAAAGGAUUCGAAUCACUAAGGUUGAAACUUCAACAACACAGAACAUCACUAAUUCAUAGAGCAACACUACUUCAAAUAAAUUUAAUUUUUAUUAACAGCCAUUUCUAUAAUUGUUAAUCACAAACUACAACAAAAAGGCACCAAAAAAACUUACCCCAAAAUCUGUUUCCACACUCAAAGCGCCGCAAUAUACCAGAAUAAGGAGCCUCAGAUCCGAAAAAAAAUAUGUAUUCUAGAUUGUAUGUAUCACUGCAUAAUCUAAAAAUAAAAAUAAAAUUAGGAGAAAUUUAGGAGGAAAAAAUGAAAUUAGAGGCAACGGACUUGAAAUUAGAGACAACGAUCUAUAGAUAAUAGAUCGACUCUAUUACCAGAAUUCAAGCCAAAGGAGUGGCGAGCAACUAUCGCUGCAUGAUCUCGAAGAGAGAGUGGGGAGAGAUUACCUGAAGACGCUGCAAGUUUAGAUACUAUUCCAUGAAUCAGAUUAAUUGCAGGUCUCUUCUCAUUUUCGUUGCAGUGAUUGGAAUAGGAAAAUCUGGUUUUAGGUAAAUCGAUGCAGAAAAUAUGUUUAAGAUUGAGAGAGGAUUGAGAAGAUAUGAAAUCGUUUGUUUGGUUUUUUUUUUUUUUUUUUUUUUUGAAGUCAGAGUCAGCCGAUCGAAAAUGAAGAUUGAAGAGAAUAAAUUCUAGUUUUUACUUUUUGCAUAUGAGGACUUUAACUUUAAGAUAAAUAUAAAAAUGACCCCAUUUUUUAUUUUUGUUUUGAAAUAUAAGAAUUUUAUGUGAUGAUAUUAAAUUUCCUCACAUAAAAUGUACAAAUAUAACAAAAUCUGAUUUUGUCACAAAAGUUUGUCACAAAU
rnacentral:lncRNA from 1 species